CUUUGAUUAACUUCAAGGUCUCCAGCGAUUAAGAUGAUGAUGAUCGAACACUUACUAUGUGCCAGACCCUGUUCUAAGCUCUUUGCAGCCAUUGAGUCUGCAUCACAGCUCCUCGAGAUCAUUUCAAAAUUCUACACUUGAGGCCCUUUGUGAACUGAGACCUGGGCCAGAAUGGUCUCUUGGCUCCCCUGGUGAAACAGGAUGCCUGCCCCUGCUUCUGAGAGUGGUUUCGAACGUGUUUUGCGUGGAGUGGGCCAUGAGCACUACUACCGCCUUGUGAGGAGAGAAGGCAGCAUGGAGGGGCAAACACGUUCAGCUCCCUGGGCCUGCGGGCAGGGUGCCCAGCCUUGAAGUUUCAAGUUUCUACCUGGAAAGGACAACAUUUACCAUUUCUAUUCUGAAUAUUGAGAAAGACUUCAGUAAAGACUUUCUUCUCCUCUAGCACUUUCACUCUGUGCACAAGGAGGAGAAAUUCUCUAAAGGAACAGUUUCCAAAACUAGGUUUUUUAAACCCAAGGAACGGUUUUUUUUCCACGUGAAAUCUUAUGCUACAUCCCAGACUAUAGAACUGGAACAGCAACCACCCUCCCUGUUGACAACUAGGCCUGGUACCAACUCUUUCUUCCCCAGGAAGCUUGGGAGCAGCCUCACAGAUUUCCCGCAUCCUCAGUGCUGCCAAAGCGUCUCUCGGUUUGAUUUCACAGUCGUCUGCCUCAUGUGCAAAGCUCCCAGUUUGCUCGCUCAGAUUUGCGAGGGGGCCUUUGGGAGUCUUUAGGGGCAACUGGGUGUUAGCAGAGAGCCUUUGAUGCAGAAGCUCUGGGGCCCGGAUAUCUUAUCCUGCAUGGAUCAGGUGCCUGGAGAUUGAGGGUCCUUUCCUCACUUCACGUGGUGUUGGCCAGUGCUUGGCAAAGAUUUGCAAUUUGUCGAGUUGUCAUUUAAUAAAUAUGAAUUACACUCCUUCUAUAUGCUGCCCACAUCUCCGAUCUCUCUCAUGGGUUUUAUAGUCUCAAGUGAGAAGAUGAAAUAAGGAAACAAGCAAGUAAACAUGAAUGAGUAUUUCUGCUGGUGAUAAGUACUACGAAGAAAAUAAAACAGGUGAAGGGGAUAGAGAGAAAAUGAUCAGCCAGAUAGGGUGG
rnacentral:lncRNA from 1 species